rnacentral:rRNA from 1 species
UACGGGGGGGGCAAGCGUUGUUCGGAAUUACUGGGCGUAAAGGGCUCGUAGGUGGCCAACUAAGUCAGACGUGAAAUCCCUCGGCUUAACCGGGGAACUGCGUCUGAUACUGGAUGGCUUGAGUUCGGGAGAGGGAUGCGGAAUUCCAGGUGUAGCGGUGAAAUGCGUAGAUAUCAGGAGGAACACCGGUGGCGAAGGCGGCUUUCUGGACAGUAACCGACGCUGAGGCACGAAAGCUAGGGGAGCAAACAGG